rnacentral:rRNA from 1 species
UACGGGGGGGGCAAGCGUUGUUCGGAAUUACUGGGCGUAAAGGGCGCGUAGGCGGCCUGCUAAGUCGGAUGUGAAUCUCGUCGCUUAACGACGAAACUGCCUUUGAUACUAUUAGUCUUGAAUCCGGUAGAGAUCUGUGGAAUUCCGAGUGUAGCAGUGAAAUGUGUAGAUAUUCGGAAGAACACCAGUGGCGAAGGCAGCAGAUUGGCCGGUAUUGACGCUCAGGCACGAAAGCAUGGG